CAAAAUGUAGUUUAUAAAAACAUUUCGCUUACACCGAAAAAAUAUUUGGUAAUAAAUCAUUUUGA
rnacentral:tRNA from 1 species